rnacentral:rRNA from 1 species
GUCCUAUCAGCUAUUUGAAGGUAGGGUAAUGGCCUACCUUGGCGAUGACGGGUAACGGGGGAUGAGAGUCCGAUUCCGGAGAGGGAGCCUGAGAAAUAGCUCCCACGUCUAAGGAUGGCAGCAGGCGCGAAACUUACCCAAUCCCUUAGCGGGGGAGGUAGUGAAGAGACGUGAGGCUACGCCUACAGACCGCACGGUAAAUAAGUGUGGGAUCGACUGGAGGGCAAGUCUGGUGCCAGCAGCCGCGGUAAUUCCAGCUCCAGUAGCGCAUAUAUUUGUUGCUGCAGUUAAAAAGUCCGUAGUUGGCCCCAAGGGCGCGUGCUUGCACGGGCCCUCGAUACUGUGAGGAAAAUGCAGUUCUCAAAGCACAUGGUGAGCAAUUCAGCAUGGGACAUGGGGGAUAAAGGAACAGAUGAUGGCAAUAGUAUUCGGCAGCGAGAGGUGAAAAUCGUUGACCUGCUGAGGACUGUCGGAAGCGAAGGCGAUUGCCAAGGAUGUAUCCGUUAAUAAAGGACCUAAGCCGGAGGAUCGAAGAUGAUUAGAUACCGUCGUAGUUCCGGCUGUAAACCAUGCCAACUAGGUGAGGCCUGCGGGCUGUGCCUUAAGAGAAAUCAAGAGUUUUUGGGCUCUGGGGAUAGUACAAUCGCAAGAUAGAAACUUAAAGAAAUUGACGGAAGGACACCACAAGGAGUGGAGUGUGCGGCUUAAUUUGACUCAACGCGGGGCAACUUACCAGGGCCGAAUGCACGGGAGAUUGGCGGCUUGAGAGGGCCCCCGAGAUUGUGCAGGAAGUGGUGCAUGGCCGUUUUCAACACGUGGGGUGACCUGUCUGGUUAAUUCCGACAACGCGUGAGGCCCGGGAGACAAUACUGUUGUCUGACGGGUGGCGGCAAGCCACAGGAAGAUAGGCGAUAACAGGUCAGUGAUGCCCUUAGAUGCUCUGGGCUGCACGCGCACUACAAUGGUACAGCGAAACGAGGGGCCGAAAGGCCGGCAGGAAACUGUACCGAAGCAGGGAUAGACCCUUGUAAAUGGGUCUUGAACGAGGAAUUCCUAGUAAUCGCAAGUCACCAUGUUGCGAUGAAUGUGUCCCUGUUCUUUG